rfam:Picoides pubescens contig23744, whole genome shotgun sequence.
AAAAAGGCUUUCUUAAAAGCCACAAAAGGCUGGCAGACUCCAUGUGU